GGGGUUGUGGCUUAGUGGUAGAGUACUUGCCUAGCAUGCAUGAGGCACUGGGUUCAAUGCUCAGCACCACA
rnacentral:tRNA from 1 species